rnacentral:rRNA from 1 species
UACGUAGGGGCCAAGCGUUGUCCGGAUUUAUUGGGCGUAAAGAGCUCGUAGGCGGUUCGGCAAGUCAGCUGUGAAAUCUCCACGCUCAACGUGGAGGGGUCAGCUGAUACUGCUGUGACUUGAGUCCGGUAGGGGAGUGUGGAAUUCCCGGUGUAGCGGUGAAAUGCGCAGAUAUCGGGAGGAACACCAGUAGCGAAGGCGGCACUCUGGGCCGGUACUGACGCUCAGGUGCGAAAGCGUGGGGAGCGAACCGG